AUUAAACGCUGGCGGCAGGCUUAACACAUGCAAGUCGAGCGGGGUGAUGGUGCUUGCACUAUCACUUAGCGGCGGACGGGUGAGUAAUGCUUAGGAAUCUGCCUAUUAGUGGGGGACAACAUCUCGAAAGGGAUGCUAAUACCGCAUACGUCCUACGGGAGAAAGCAGGGGAUCACUUGUGACCUUGCGCUAAUAGAUGAGCCUAAGUCGGAUUAGCUAGUUGGUGGGGUAAAGGCCUACCAAGGCGACGAUCUGUAGCGGGUCUGAGAGGAUGAUCCGCCACACUGGGACUGGGACACGGCCCAGACUCCUACGGGAGGCAGCAGUGGGGAAUAUUGGACAAUGGGGGGAACCCUGAUCCAGCCAUGCCGCGUGUGUGAAGAAGGCCUUAUGGUUGUAAAGCACUUUAAGCGAGGAGGAGGCUCUUUUGGUUAAUACCCAAGAUGAGUGGACGUUACUCGCGGAAUAAGCACCGGCUAACUCUGUGCCAGCCGCCGCGGUAA
rnacentral:rRNA from 1 species